GACAGAGGGUGCAAACGUUGUUCGGAAUUACUGGGCGUAAAGCGCGUGUAGGCUGCUCAGAAAGUCGGAUGUGAAAGCCCUGGGCUUAACCUAGGAAGUGCAUUCGAAACUUCUGAGCUUGAGCGCUGGAGAGGAAGGCGGAAUUCUCGGUGUAGAGGUGAAAUUCGUAGAUAUCGAGAGGAACACCGGUGGCGAAGGCGGCCUUCUGGACAGUGUCUGACGCUGAGACGCGAAAGCGUGGGGAGCAAACAGG
rnacentral:rRNA from 1 species